rnacentral:sRNA from 1 species
UCCUCCUCCUCCUUCACCACACAGGUCAGGAGAUACUCCUUAAAGCUUUGUCAUCAACAGUUGUUCAUUGUGUGUUGUCCUUAAGCUUCCAGGGCCUCCGCUGAAGUCUGGGAGGAAUCUUAGCUGAGGACCUGGGUUCAGUUCCUAGCACAUGGUGGUUCACAAACAUCUUAAACUUGAGUUCCGGGUGUUGUGUUUUCUGGUGUCUGAAGCCAACACUUCAUACACAUGGCGAGGCAUGGAUGUACGAGCAGGCCAAGUACUCAUGGAUUUAAAAGAAAUCUUCAAAACAAUCCUAUAACCGGACAGAGUCAUCUGAGAUGAGGGAACCUUAGCUGAUAAAAUGCCUUCUUCAGAUCGACCACAAUACCUCCUUUAGAUCGGCCACGUUCAGUGUAGCGGGAAAUAUUUAAAAAAGGAGCACCAUCUCACGCUAGCACCGGCACCUCGGGUCACAUGGCACCAGCGUGGGGGUGUUCUCAUCUCAGCCAGCCAGAUUCUGCAGACUCUCUAGCCUGGAGCUCUUGAAAUGUCUAUACCCGACUUGCUGUGUUCCCACGUCAGGUUGCUGCCACGCCAGCCCCAUGCAAUGACUGCCCAUCUCACCGUUGGCUGUCACAAAUUCCUGUAUCCCGGCCAAAUCAAAACUCUUGAAGCUUGUAAUUUAUCAAUCAGAUUUAUAUCAGUAAAUUAUGACCCCAUAAAAUGUCCACACAAUAAAUUCACCUAGAUAAGACAAAUUGUCCGGUAAUUAUCCAUUCUUUACAAGAUAGUCAUAGCUACCUGUGACUAUUUAAAGUCACACGGAACUGGGUCAUCCUUCUCUUCCUCCAUCUUCCUCCUCCUCUCUUCCCCCCUCUGACCGGGAAGUCCCACCUACUCCUUGCCCAGUGAAAUCUGUAUUCAUUAGGGGAAGGUCCCUGCCACAGCUCAGGGCUAUCCUCCAGGCCAAACUGCCACCUUCUUUACAAGUUUAGCUGGACCUGCUCUCCAACAAUCCCCACAGCGGGACGUGUAGGUGGU